rnacentral:rRNA from 1 species
UACAGAGGUCUCAAGCGUUGUUCGGAUUCAUUGGGCGUAAAGGGUGCGUAGGCGGCGCGGUAAGUCGGAUGUGAAAUCUCGGAGCUUAACUCCGAAACUGCAUUCGAUACUGCGGUGCUUGAGGACUGGAGAGGAGACUGGAAUUCAUGGUGUAGCAGUGAAAUGCGUAGAGAUCAUGAGGAAGACCAGUGGCGAAGGCGGGUCUCUGGACAGUUCCUGACACUGAGGCACGAAGGCCAGGGGAGCAAACGGG